rnacentral:rRNA from 1 species
UACGUAGGGUGCGAGCGUUAAUCGGAAUUACUGGGCGUAAAGGGCUCGUAGGCGGCCAACUAAGUCAGACGUGAAAUCCCUCGGCUUAACCGGGGAACUGCGUCUGAUACUGGAUGGCUAGAGUUUGGGAGAGGGAUGCGGAAUUCCAGGUGUAGCGGUGAAAUGCGUAGAUAUCUGGAGGAACACCAAUGGCGAAGGCAGCUCGCUGGGACGUGACUGACGCUGAGACGCGAAAGCGUGGGGAGCAAACAGG